rfam:Schistosoma curassoni strain Dakar, Senegal genome assembly, scaffold: SCTD_scaffold0006970
AUCCAGCUGAAGAGUCUUAAAUGGGAUGAAACGCGCGUUCUGGAU